GCCGGGAUAGCUCAGCUGGUUAGAGCGUCGGAAUCAUAAUCCGUAGGUCGGGGGUUCAAGUCCCUCUCCCGGUAC
rnacentral:tRNA from 1 species